rnacentral:rRNA from 1 species
UUGGUGAGAUAAAAGCCCACCAAGGCGACGAUGGGUAGCCGGCCUGAGAGGGUGACCGGCCACACUGGAACUGAGACACGGUCCAGACUCCUACGGGAGGCAGCAGUGGGGAAUAUUGCACAAUGGAGGGAACUCUGAUGCAGCGACGCCGCGUGAGCGAAGAAGGCUUUCGAGUCGUAAAGCUCUGUCCUAGGGGACGAUAAUGACGGUACCCAAGGAGGAAGCCCCGGCUAACUACGUGCCAGCAGCCGCGGUAAUACGUAGGGGGCGAGCGUUGUCCGGAAUUAUUGGGCGUAAAGGGUUCGCAGGCGGCCUAUUAAGUCAGAUGUGAAAUCCCAUGGCUUAACCAUGGUAAGCAUUUGAAACUGGAAGGCUUGAGUUAAGGAGAGGAAAGUGGAAUUCCUAGUGUAGCGGUGAAAUGCGUAGAUAUUAGGAGGAAUACCAGUGGCGAAGGCGACUUUCUGGACUUUAACUGACGCUGAGGAACGAAAGCGUGGGUAGCAAACAGGAUUAGAUACCCUGGUAGUCCACGCCGUAAACGAUGAGUGCUAGGUGUUGGGGGUCAAACCUCGGU